UACGAAGGGGGCUAGCGUUGCUCGGAAUCACUGGGCGUAAAGCGCACGUAGGCGGACUCUUAAGUCGGUGGUGAAAUCCUGGAGCUCAACUCCAGAACUGCCUUUGAUACUGAAGAUCUUGAGUUCGGGAGAGGUGAGUGGAACUGCGAGUGUAGAGGUGAAAUUCGUAGAUAUUCGCAAGAACACCAGUGGCGAAGGCGGCUCACUGGCCCGAUACUGACGCUGAGGCACGAAAGCGUGGGGAGCGAACAGG
rnacentral:rRNA from 1 species